UAAUGGCUUUGCAGGUUCCUCGUUCUCAAUGAUAAUGGCUGCUAGGAAUUUCAGGAGGAAAGGUCAACUGCCGAGAAAGCCUCAUAUGUGAUAUGGGUCAGACGUACCGAAACCUUGUAGUGCAGUCGAAUCGGUAAAUCUCUUCAAGUCAAUAAUACGUUAACGUAAAGAUACAGAUAUAAUGGUUCAGACAAC